GGCUUACACAUGCAAGUCGAGCGGGGGAAGGUAGCUUGCUACUGGACCUAGCGGCGGACGGGUGAGUAAUGCUUAGGAAUCUGCCUAUUAGUGGGGGACAACAUCUCGAAAGGGAUGCUAAUACCGCAUACGUCCUACGGGAGAAAGCAGGGGACCUUUGGGCCUUGCGCUAAUAGAUGAGCCUAAGUCGGAUUAGCUAGUUGGUGGGGUAAAGGCCUACCAAGGCGACGAUCUGUAGCGGGUCUGAGAGGAUGAUCCGCCACACUGGGACUGAGACACGGCCCAGACUCCUACGGGAGGCAGCAGUGGGGAAUAUUGGACAAUGGGCGGAAGCCUGAUCCAGCCAUGCCGCGUGUGUGAAGAAGGCCUUUUGGUUGUAAAGCACUUUAAGCGAGGAGGAGGCUACUAAGAUUAAUACUCUUGGAUAGUGGACGUUACUCGCAGAAUAAGCACCGGCUAACUCUGUGCCAGCAGCCGCGGUAAUACAGAGGGUGCGAGCGUUAAUCGGAUUUACUGGGCGUAAAGCGUGCGUAGGCGGCUUUUUAAGUCGGAUGUGAAAUCCCCGAGCUUAACUUGGGAAUUGCAUUCGAUACUGGGAAGCUAGAGUAUGGGAGAGGAUGGUAGAAUUCCAGGUGUAGCGGUGAAAUGCGUAGAGAUCUGGAGGAAUACCGAUGGCGAAGGCAGCCAUCUGGCCUAAUACUGACGCUGAGGUACGAAAGCAUGGGGAGCAAACAGGAUUAGAUACCCUGGUAGUCCAUGCCGUAAACGAUGUCUACUAGCCGUUGGGGCCUUUGAGGCUUUAGUGGCGCAGCUAACGCGAUAAGUAGACCGCCUGGGGAGUACGGUCGCAAGACUAAAACUCAAAUGAAUUGACGGGGGCCCGCACAAGCGGUGGAGCAU
rnacentral:rRNA from 1 species